AUUGUACUCCCUCCGUUCCAAAUUACUCGUCGCAGAAAUGGAUGUAUCUAAAACUAAAAUACAUCUAGAUACAUCCAUACUUGCGACAAGUAAUUCGGAACGGAGAAAGUAGCUU
rnacentral:pre_miRNA from 1 species